CAUGCUAUAAAACUGAAAAGUGCUGUGGUCUCUCUGAAUAAAGCACAAAGUGAAGAUGAGAGGAAUAAUACUACUCAGUCUCCUGGGUGUUGUCCUGGCUCUGCCUAAACCUCAACAACAAACUAAACAGCGGUGGCCAAUAGGUUCCAGGUUUCCCCUUGAAAAUGUAGAGGGGUUUGGAGAACAGGAACCACAAGAGACGUCCCAUGGUUUGGUAUACACAGGUACUCAGCCCAUUAUGGAGCCCACUCCUAGACCCUUUGCAAACACGGAGAAGACAACCCUAUCAGCAGCUGUAAACGCUUUAAUAUCAGCAGUUGUAAACGCUAUUCAGAGUUUGGGAGAAUUUUAAAGGACUGUAUUGCUGGUUUGAGUUGGGGCUAUCGUGGUGGUGUGUCCAAUAAACCAGUGGUGUUCAA